CGCGGUAUUUUGACCGUGCAAAGGUAGCAUAAUAAUUAGUUUUUUUAUUGAAAGCUGGAAUGAAGGAUUGGACGAGAAAAAUACUGUCUCUAUAGGAUUUAUUAUUAAAAUUAACUUUUAAGUUAAAAGGCUUAAAUUUUACUUAAAGACGAGAAGACCCUAUAGAGUUUUAUAGCUUUGAUUUAUGUGGAGUUUUUGGUUAUUAAAUUUCUUUAUAGUUAAAGUUAUUUGGUUGGGGUGACUUGAAGAUUGAAUAAACUCUUUAAAUUUUUAGUUAUUGAUUUAUAAAUGAAUAAUCUAAUUUUUUUAAAUUUAAAAUAAAUUACCUUAGGGAUAACAGCGUAAUUUUUCUUUAGAGUUCUUAUUGAAAGGAAAGUUUGCGACCUCNAUGUUGAUUUAAAUUGCCNCGGU
rnacentral:rRNA from 1 species